rnacentral:rRNA from 1 species
ACUCAAAUGAAUUGACGGGGGCCCGCACAAGCAGUGGAGUAUGUGGUUUAAUUCGAAGCAACGCGAAGAACCUUACCAGGGCUUGACAUGCAGGUGAAUACCGUAGAGAUGCGGUAGUCUUUCGGGACGCCUGCACAGGUGGUGCAUGGUUGUCGUCAGCUCGUGUCGUGAGAUGUUGGGUUAAGUCCCGCAACGAGCGCAACCCUUGUUGUUAGUUGCCAGCGUGUAAAGGCGGGCACUCUAACGAGACUGCCGGUGACAAAUCGGAGGAAGGUGGGGACGACGUCAAAUCAUCAUGCCCCUUAUGUCCUGGGCUACACACGUACUACAAUGGCUACAACAGAGGGAAGCGAAGGAGCAAUCCGGAGCGAAUCCCCAAAAGUAGUCCCAGUUCGGAUUGUGGGCUGCAACCCGCCCACAUGAAGUCGGAAUUGCUAGUAAUGGCAGGUCAGCAUACUGCCGUGAAUACGUUCCCGGGCCUUGUACACACCGCCCGU